rnacentral:tRNA from 1 species
GGGCCCGUGGUCUAUUGGUAUGACGUCACGCUUACAACGUGAAGACAGGCGGUCCGAUUCCGCCCGGGCCCA